UAUCAGGAGGAGGGAGAGAGGAAAGGUGGGGAUAUCAGGAGGAGGGAGAGAGGAAAGGUGGGGAUAUCAGGAGGAGGGAGAGAAGAAAGGUGGGGAUAUCAGGAGGAGGGAGAGAGGAAAGGUGGGGAUAUCAGGAGGAGGGAGAGAGGAAAGGUGGGGAUAUCAGGAGGAGGGAGAGAGGAAAGGUGGGGAUAUCAGGAGGAGGGAGAGAGGAAAGGUGGUGAUAUCAGGAGGAGGGAGAGAGGAAAGGUGGGGAUAUCAGGAGGAGGGAGAGUGGAAAGGAGGGGAUAUCAGGAGGAGGGAGAGAGGAAAGGAGGGGAUAUCAGGAGGAGGGAGAGGAAAGGAGGGGAUAUCAGGAGGAGGGAGAGAGGAAAGGAGGGGAUAUCAGGAGGAGGGAGAGAGGAAAGGUGGGGAUAUCAGGAGGAGGGAGAGAGGAAAGGUGGGGAUAUCAGGAGGAGGGAGAGAGGAAAGGUGGGGAUAUCAGGAGGAGGGAGAGAGGAAAGGUUGGGAUAUCAGGAGGAGGGAGAGAGGAAAGGUGGGGAUAUCAGGAGGAGGGAGAGAGGAAAGGUUGGGAUAUCAGGAGGAGGGAGAGAGGAAAGGUGGGGAUAUCAGGAGGAGGGAGAGAGGAAAGGUGGGGAUAUCAGGAGGAGGGAGAGAGGAAAGGUGGGGAUAUCAGUAGGAGGGAGAGAGGAAAGGUGGGGAUAUCAGGAGGAGGGAGAGAGGAAAGGUGGUGAUAUCAGGAGGAGGGAGAGAGGAAAGGAGGGGAUAUCAGGAGGAGGGAGAGAGGAAAGGUGGGGAUAUCAGGAGGAGGGAGAGAGGAAAGGUGGGGAUAUCAGGAGGAGGGAGAGAGGAAAGGUUGGGAUAUCAGGAGGAGGGAGAGAGGAAAGGUGGGGAUAUCAGGAGGAGGGAGAGAGGAAAGGUGGGGAUAUCAGGAGGAGGGAGAGAGGAAAGGUGGGGAUAUCAGGAGGAGGGAGAGAGGAAAGGUGGGGAUAUCAGGAGGAGGGAGAGAGGAAAGGUGGGGAUAUCAGGAGGAGGGAGAGAGGAAAGGUGGGGAUAUCAGGAGGAGGGAGAGAGGAAAGGUGGUGA
rnacentral:lncRNA from 1 species